rnacentral:misc_RNA from 1 species
AACAAGGCGUACCUGCGGACCUGCGGAGGGAUCAUUACAAGUGACCCCGGUCUAACCACCGGGAUGUUCAUAACCCUUUGUUGUCCGACUCCGUUGCCUCCGGGGCGACCCUGCCUUCGGGCGGGGGCUCCGGGUGGACACUUCAAACUCUUGCGUAACUUUGCAGUCUGAGUAAACUUAAUUAAUAAAUUAAAACUUUCAGCAACGGAUCU